rnacentral:rRNA from 1 species
GUAGUAAUAGAUAUAGGCUUGAAACUUAAAGAAUUUGGCGGUAUUUUAAUCUUUUCAGAGGAACCUGUUCUAUAAUCGAUAUUCCACGUUAAAUUUUACUAAAUUAUUUAUAUAUCGUUGUCGAAAGAAUAAAUUUUCUAGUAUUUUUAAGAAAAUAGAUGUCAAAUCAAGGUGUAGUUUAUAAUUUAGUAGAAAUGGGUUACAAUAAAUUUAUUUAGAAAAUUUUAGAAGGAGGAUUUGAAAGUAAAUUAAUUUUAAUAAA